AGCGACCAUCCAGGAGACAGGGGCGUUUUAUCACCUCAGUCGAUGAGUGUUAGCUGCGGCCUGGUAACUGACAGAGGUCUGGCCCUAUAAAGGAAGGAAGUCAAAUGGAGGUUUCCAGAGAGAUUUGGUAGACAUCAAUCAAUCCUCCCAAGAUGCCCUACAUCCAGAAGCUGGUGACUGAAGAGUCUCAGAGUCAGGGUACCGUCAGCCCCACCUCAGCCUAAGAGACAUUUUUUUUAGUGUCAAAGAAAGUGACGCAUGUGCUGUGUCUGCUUCCCAGUCACCUGGCACAGGAACAAUCAAAAGUCCCCUCUGCUGGGGAAAGGCCACGGUCCAAGAUUUCAGUGAAGGAAGUGGUGGACUUCGAGAACGGGACUCAGCUGGAGCUGAGACGAGGAUUUGGGAGGACACAGCUACGUCUGCUGUGUGCAGAUCACAGUCUGAGCAGUGAGCCAGUCCACAGACAAAGGUGGCUCCAUGGAUUAUGACGGGACUGAGAAAUGCCAGUCAUCUCGUGAAAUCACAGCUGUGAUGGCAGCAUGCACAAAACACUCCCCGUAUGAUUGUGGUGACACUGAUAUAAGCGAAUGCACUGAGCUGCAAAUUGUAUAAAAGCGUAGCUCACACACUCACACGCUACUCAGCACUUAAUGGUGAUAAAAGACUAUGCUGCUGA